rnacentral:rRNA from 1 species
UACGUAGGGGGCAAGCGUUGUCCGGAAUCAUUGGGCGUAAAGCGCGCGUAGGCGGCCCUGUAAGUCCGUUGUGAAAGUCAAAGGCUCAACCUUUGAAAGCCGAUGGAUACUGCAGGGCUAGAGUCCGGAAGAGGCGAGUGGAAUUCCUGGUGUAGCGGUGGAAUGCGCAGAUAUCAGGAGGAACACCGGUGGCGAAGGCGGCUUGCUGGGCCUUACCUGACGCUGAGGAGCGAAAGCGUGGGGAGCGAACAGG